CACACACAUGCAAUGGGUCUCUCUCAACUCUCCCAACUUUCCUUCUUUCUUCUUCACCAUUUUUGGAUUCUCCAAGGCAAAAUGGAGCUUAAAACUAACUAAUCUAAUGUAAUAAUAAGUCAUAUGGAUCAUCUAUCACCUAGAGUCAUGUAUGGUGAAAGCUUGGAGGUGAUUUGGAGGCAAUUACCAAAUGAAAUCAGCCCUUUAAGGGGGCUGAUCGGCAGCAGCAAAUAUGGGCCAAGAACAACCCAUAAACUCAUGAUUUAAUCAUCAAACAAUCAAUAACUAACAAUAAUCUUGUAUGGGGUUAAGCUAAAAUCAAUGGGAGCAUGGAUAGGAAGCAUCAAUAGCUCUCAAACGGCCAUAUAUGUCAAGGUUUUCAUCAUCUAAGGGAUAGUCUUGGCUUUGAGAUGUGAUUGAAAAACGUGACAGAUGUAUGAUGGAGCGAUUGAUGGGAAGUACCCAUUUUGGAUAAGUGAAUAUAAUAUGCGGCAUAUCAAGGAUAUAAGCUUA